rnacentral:rRNA from 1 species
GUGGGGAAUAUUGGACAAUGGGGGGAACCCUGAUCCAGCCAUGCCGCGUGUGUGAAGAAGGCCUUUUGGUUGUAAAGCACUUUAAGCGAGGAGGAGGCUACCGAGAUUAAUACUCUUGGAUAGUGGACGUUACUCGCAGAAUAAGCACCGGCUAACUCUGUGCCAGCAGCCGCGGUAAUACAGAGGGUGCAAGCGUUAAUCGGAUUUACUGGGCGUAAAGCGCGCGUAGGUGGCCAAUUAAGUCAAAUGUGAAAUCCCCGAGCUUAACUUGGGAAUUGCAUUCGAUACUGGAAAGCUAGAGUAUGGGAGAGGAUGGUAGAAUUCCAGGUGUAGCGGUGAAAUGCGUAGAGAUCUGGAGGAAUACCGAUGGCGAAGGCAGCCAUCUGGCCUAAUACUGACGCUGAGGUACGAAAGCAUGGGGAGCAAACAGGAUUAGAAACCCCAGUAGUCC